rnacentral:rRNA from 1 species
GGUACGCACUACUGUCGGCCGGCUCGCGUGCCGGUUUUCCCGUCGUGGCCUUCGCCGGUCGCGGCGGGUGGCUGGCGAGUUUACUUUGAGAAAAUCAGAGUGCUCAACACAGGCGUCUAGCUUGAAUGAUUGUGCAUGGAAUAAUGGAAAAGGAUCACGGUCCUCUUUUAUUGGUUUUGUGGACUGAGAUAAUGGUUAACAGGGACAAACGGGGGCAUUCGUAUCGCUGCGUGAGAGGUGAAAUUCUUGGACCGUAGCGAGACGCCCGACUGCGAAAGCAUUUGCCAAGAAUGUCUUCAUUAAUCAAGAACGAAAGUCAGAGGUUCGAAGGCGAUCAGAUACCGCCCUAGUUCUGACCGUAAACGAUGCCAACUAGCGAUUCGCCGGUGGAUUUCACGCCCUGGUGAGUAGCUUCCCGGAAACGAAAGUCUUCCGGUUCCGGGGGAAGUAUGGUUGCAAAGCUGAAACUUAAAGGAAUUGACGGAAGGGCACCACCAGGAGUGGAGCCUGCGGCUUAAUUUGACUCAACACGGGGAAACUCACCCGGCCCGGACACCGUGAGGAUUGACAGAUUGAGAGCUCUUUCAUGAUUCGGUGGUUGGUGGUGCAUGGGCCGUUCUUAGUUCGUGGAUCGAUUUGUCUGGUUUAUUCCGAUAACGAGCGAGACUCUAGCCUACUAAAUAGCCGCGAUAUUAUUUUCGUUGUGUCGCGCGCUUCUUAGAGGGAUUCGCGG